rnacentral:rRNA from 1 species
UGAACGCUAGCGGCAGGCUUAACACAUGCAAGUCGAGGGGCAGCAUGAGACGGAGAUUCGUCGAAGUCUUGAUGGCGACCGGCGCAAGGGUGCGUAACGCGUGAGCAACUUGCCCGUUUCAGGGGGAUAACCGGUGGAAACGCCGACUAAUACCCCAUAGCAUCAACUUUAGGCAUCUUUAGUUGAUUAAAGAAUUUCGGAAACGGAUAGGCUCGCGUGACAUUAGCUAGAUGGCGGGGUAACGGCCCACCGUGGCGACGAUGUCUAGGGGUUCUGAGAGGAAGGUCCCCCACACUGGAACUGAGACACGGUCCAGACUCCUACGGGAGGCAGCAGUGAGGAAUAUUGGUCAAUGGUCGAGAGACUGAACCAGCCAUGCCGCGUGAAGGUCACGGCCCUAUGGGUCUUAAACUUCUUUUGUAAGGGAGCAAUAAGUCUCACGUGUGGGAUGAUGAGAGUACCUUACGAAUAAGCAUCGGCUAACUCCGUG